UGGGAGACAAGCUCAAGCUCUUUGUGACCUAGAGGACUAACCUUGGACAUCACCAUGAAAUUUAGACUGAACUGGAUUUUCCUCCUGAGUAUUUUCCAAGGUGUCCAGUGUGAUAUACAGCUGGUGGAGUCUGGGGGAGAUGUGAGACAGCCUGGGGGUUCUCUGAGUCUCUCCUGCAAAGGUUCUGGAUUUGCUUUCAGCAGCUAUGCCAUGAGUUGGGUCCGCCAGGCUCCAGGGAAGGGACUGGAAUGGGUUGCAAGCAUUAGCUACGAUGGUGCUAGUACAUACUACAUGGACUCUGUGAAAGGUCGUUUCACCAUCUCCAGAGAUAAUGGCAACAGCAUGCUCAAUCUACAGAUGAAUUCCCUUAAUACUGGGGAUUCAGCUUUGUAUUACUGUGCAAAGGACACAGUGAUGAAAAGGAAUGUGAGGCCAGACAAAAACUCCCCUUGCCUGAAGGGGAAGUACCAGUGA